UUCCAAAGACAUUUUUCGUGGGGUCCGCAUAACGAUUGUCCCGGGCUCCACGAGUUCAUGUUCAUGUGCAAGUCCCUCAGACGAAGAGUUCUCCGCGCCCAAUUCAGUCAAGUUUAUCGAGAUCAGAGUCUCAGUCUCAUCGACCAGCAUUUGUCGGACGUGUUCAAUAUGCCAUUUUGCUCGAGCAAUAAGAAAUACCGGAGUAUCGACUGUGGGGGCGCUCAUCGGUUCCUUCUCGGGAGCGCUGCCUGGGAUACACUCCUCGAGAACGUGACUUCCAUAUACGAAGCGCGUGAAAUCGUCAAAGACAUCGAACUCCCGGAUUCCGGAGAAUUCACCGAGGAAUCGUCGUAGCGAAUAUUGUUCCUGCCGAUUUUCACACCGAGUGUCACUUUACCCCAGCUGCAUCGAACACCUUGAGCUAUGAGAACCGUUCUGUGAACUGAUAGUAAUACCAAAAGAUGUCGAUCGUUUUAAAGAAAAGAGAGAACGACUUCGGAACGAAUUUUCCGCUAUUCCCACGUCGGAAUGGAGUCACCCUAUCAAAAGAGAUUCAUCGAGGCUCUAUCGGAAUAAAAGCUGUCCUUCGAGAAAACCAAA